rnacentral:rRNA from 1 species
GACGAACGCUGGCGGCGUGCCUAAUACAUGCAAGUAGAACGCUGAAGUGAGGAGCUUGCUCUUCUUGGAUGAGUUGCGAACGGGUGAGUAACGCGUAGGUAACCUGCCUUGUAGCGGGGGAUAACUAUUGGAAACGAUAGCUAAUACCGCAUAACAAUGGAUGACACAUGUCAUUUAUUUGAAAGGGGCAAUUGCUCCACUACAAGAUGGACCUGCGUUGUAUUAGCUAGUAGGUGAGGUAAUGGCUCACCUAGGCGACGAUUCAUAGCCGACCUGAGAGGGUGAACGGCCACACUGGGACUGAGACACGGCCCAGACUCCUACGGGAGGCAGCAGUAGGGAAUCUUCGGCAAUGGGGGCAACCCUGACCGAGCAACGCCGCGUGAGUGAAGAAGGUUUUCGGAUCGUAAAGCUCUGUUGUAAGUGAAGAAAGGGUGGGAGAGUGGAAAGUUCACACUGUGACGGUAGCUUACCAGAAAGGGACGGCUAACUACGUG